rnacentral:lncRNA from 10 species
CUUCUCAGUGUUUUGGUGGAACAAGCCCCUCGCAGCUCCCCGUGAGGUGCAGGGGGUGGGCCUUCGCUUCCCUGCGAGUUGAGAAAACCUCGCCGCAGGGUCCCCGGCUCCCGAGGCUGCUGUGGGUCCGGCAAUGGCAUCCCAACCCCGGGGCCUUGGUAUGGAACCUGUUUCUGCGGGUUUUUUCCUGAAAGUUUUUGGGGCCUUCUUUUUGUCUCCAUCUCUGCUGUCCUGUGAAGGUGGAUCUUUGUGUGGUUCCGUUUUCAUCCCUUUCACGGGGUCCUCAGUGGCUCUUUCUGUCUGGAAAUGCCUGAGCUUCGGCUCCAGGAAAUGUUCUUGAAUUACAAUUUUUAAAUGAUUUUGUUCUUUAUCUUUUCUUUUUGUUGUUGCUCUCUCUUUCUCUGGUGAAUAUUGCUGCAAUUUGGAGCAGGUCCUCUAAUCACCUUUUCUAUCCCAUUUUCUUUGCCUUUUCACGUCACGUUCGGGGAACGUCCUGGCUCCGUCCCUUCCAGCGCUUUUCGUUUCUGUCCUCGGAGUCAUUCUUUUU